GAUGAAGAACGCAGCCAAAUGUGAUAAGUAAUAUGAAUUGCAGAAUUCCGUGAAUCAUCGAAUCUUUGAACGCAUAUUGCGCCCGCCAGUACUCUGGCGGGCAUGCCUGUUCGAGCGUCAUCUCUCCCCUCAGGCUAUAUAUAUAGGUGCCUGGUGUUGGGGUUGCCCCGCCGCCUGCCCGGCGGGGGCCCCGAAAGAGAGUGGCGGGCUCCCUCGUAGGCCCGGGCGUGGUAAACAAUAGCUCACCUAGGGACCUAUAGGGCGCGCUAGCCGUCAACCGCCCCUCCCGCCCGCGGGAGGGCGACCGUUUCACUGACCUCGAAUCAGGUAGGACUACCCGCUGAACUUAAGCAUAUCAAUAAGCGGAGGA
rnacentral:misc_RNA from 1 species